UACGUAGGGUGCGAGCGUUGUCCGGAUUUAUUGGGCGUAAAGAGCUCGUAGGCGGUUUGUCGCGUCGGCCGUGAAAUCUCCACGCUUAACGUGGAGCGUGCGGUCGAUACGGGCAGACUUGAGUUCGGUAGGGGAGACUGGAAUUCCUGGUGUAGCGGUGAAAUGCGCAGAUAUCAGGAGGAAUACCGGUAGCGAAGGCGGGUCUCUGGGCCGAUACUGACGCUGAGGAGCGAAAGCGUGGGGAGCGAACAGG
rnacentral:rRNA from 1 species